UGGGGAAUAUUGCACAAUGGGCGCAAGCCUGAUGCAGCCAUGCCGCGUGUGUGAAGAAGGCCUUCGGGUUGUAAAGCACUUUCAGCGGGGAGGAAGGGAGUAAAGUUAAUACCUUUGCUCAUUGACGUUACCCGCAGAAGAAGCACCGGCUAACUCCGUGCCAGCAGCCGCGGUAAUACGGAGGGUGCAAGCGUUAAUCGGAAUUACUGGGCGUAAAGCGCACGCAGGCGGUUUGUUAAGUCAGAUGUGAAAUCCCCGGGCUCAACCUGGGAACUGCAUCUGAUACUGGCAAGCUUGAGUCUCGUAGAGGGGGGUAGAAUUCCAGGUGUAGCGGUGAAAUGCGUAGAGAUCUGGAGUAAUACCGGUGGCGAAGGCGGCCCCCUGGACGAAGACUGACGCUCAGGUGCGAAAGCGUGGGGAGCAAACAGG
rnacentral:rRNA from 1 species